UCUAUGGAGAUUAUAAUUUGC
rnacentral:piRNA from 1 species